UACAGAGGGUGCAAGCGUUGUUCGGAAUCAUUGGGCGUAAAGGGCGUGUAGGCGGUCUGUUAAGUCAUGUGUGAAAUCCCUCGGCUCAACCGGGGAACGACGCAUGAAACUGACAGCUAGAGUACCAAAGAGGGGGGUGGAAUUCCCGGUGUAGCGGUGGAAAUGCGUAGAUAUCGGGGAGGAACACCGGGUGGCGAAAGGCGGGCCCCCCUGGUUGG
rnacentral:rRNA from 1 species